UACGGAGGGAGCUAGCGUUGUUCGGAAUUACUGGGCGUAAAGCGCACGUAGGCGGACAUUUAAGUCAGGGGUGAAAUCCCGGGGCUCAACCCCGGAACUGCCUUUGAUACUGGGUGUCUCGAGUCCGGAAGAGGUGAGUGGAAUUCCGAGUGUAGAGGUGAAAUUCGUAGAUAUUCGGAGGAACACCAGUGGCGAAGGCGGCUCACUGGCCCGGUACUGACACUGAGGUGCGAAAGCGUGGGGAGCAAACGGG
rnacentral:rRNA from 1 species